rnacentral:rRNA from 1 species
AGCGGGGAGCGAAGCUUGCUUUGCUCCGCCGGCGACCGGCGCACGGGUGAGUAACGCGUAUGCAACCUGCCCGUUUCAGCGGGAUAACCCGGAGAGAUCCGGCCUAAUACCGCAUGUGGCCGAGGGAAGGCAUCUUCUUUCGGCCAAAGGAGGCGACUCCGGAGACGGAUGGGCAUGCGUGACAUUAGCUUGUUGGCGGGGUAACGGCCCACCAAGGCGACGAUGUCUAGGGGUUCUGAGAGGAAGGUCCCCCACACUGGUACUGAGACACGGACCAGACUCCUACGGGAGGCAGCAGUGAGGAAUAUUGGUCAAUGGGCGAGAGCCUGAACCAGCCAAGUCGCGUGAAGGAUGACGGCCCUACGGGUUGUAAACUUCUUUUGUCAGGGAGCAAUUGAGUCCACGUGUGGGCUUAGCGAGAGUACCUGAAGAAAAAGCAUCGGCUAACUCCGUGCCAGCAGCCGCGGUAAUACGGAGGAUGCGAGCGUUAUCCGGAUUUAUUGGGUUUAAAGGGUGCGUAGGCGGAAUAUCAAGUCAGCGGUAAAAAUUCGGGGCUCAACCCCGUCGUGCCGUUGAAACUGAUGUUCUUGAGUGGGCGAGAAGUAUGCGGAAUGCGUGGUGUAGCGGUGAAAUGCAUAGAUAUCACGCAGAACUCCGAUUGCGAAGGCAGCAUACCGGCGCCCAACUGACGCUGAAGCACGAAAGCGUGGGUAUCGAACA